rnacentral:rRNA from 1 species
CCUACGGGAGGCAGCAGUGGGGAAUAUUGCACAAUGGGGGGAACCCUGAUGCAGCGACGCCGCGUGAGUGAAGAAGUAUUUCGGUAUGUAAAGCUCUAUCAGCAGGAACGAGACAAGACGGUACCUGACUAAGAAGCCCCGGCUAACUACGUGCCAGCAGCCGCGGUAAUACGUAGGGGGCAAGCGUUAUCCGGAAUCACUGGGUGGAAAGGGAGCGUAGACGGCUGAGCAAGCCUGAAGUGAAAGGCGGGGGCCCAACCCCCGGACUGCUUUGGGAACUGUACGGCUGGAGUGCAGGAGAGGUAAGUGGAAUUCCUAGUGUAGCGGUGAAAUGCGUAGAUAUUAGGAGGAACACCAGUGGCGAAGGCGGCUUACUGGACUGUAACUGACGUUGAGGCUCGAAAGCGUGGGGAGCAAACAGGAUUAGAUACCCUUGUAGUC